CGCACAUUGCGCCUCCUGGUAUUCCGGAAGGCAUGUCUGUUUGAGCGUCAGCAAACCCCUUCAGCAUUGGUAUUUUACUGCCGACGCUGGUGAUGGGCAUUGGGGGAAGUGGCACUAACCUGCCGCCCCAGCCUUAAACUUGCUGCACGACCGUCUCUCUGGCGUGAUCAAUGGAGUGGUGUAACAAUCUUCCGUGACUCACCGCGAGCAGAGGUGGCGUUAAACCUGAUGUCUGCCGCAUGGUAGCUCUGACGUUUGACCUCAAAUCAGAUAAGGAUACCCGCUGAACUUAA
rnacentral:misc_RNA from 1 species